rnacentral:rRNA from 1 species
UGAGGAAUUUUGCGCAAUGGGAGCAAUCCUGACGCAGCAACGCCGCGUGGGUGAUGAAGGCCUUCGGGUCGUAAAGCCCUGUCAGGUGGGAAGAAUGUCCCGGGACUGAACAGGUUCCGGGAGUGACGGUACCACCAGAGGAAGCACCGGCUAAUCCGUGGCAGGCAGCGCGGGAAUACGGGGGGUGCCAGCGUUAUUCGGAAUUACUGGGCGUAAAGCGCGUGUAGGCGGUCCUGCAAGUCUGAUGUGAAAGCCCCGGGCUUAACCCGGGAAGUGCAUUGGAAACUGUGGGACUUGAGUACUGGAGAGGAUGGGGGAAUUCCCGGUGUAGAGGUGAAAUUCGUAGAGAUCGGGAGGAAUAUCAGUGGCGAAGGCGCCCAUCUGGACGGUAACUGACGCUGAGACGCGAAAGCGUGGGGAGCAAACA